rnacentral:rRNA from 1 species
CCAACUUUCUAAGUUUGACCUCGGAUCAGGUAGGGAUACCCGCUGAACUUAAGCAUAUCAA